rnacentral:rRNA from 1 species
AUUGAACGCUGGCGGCAGGCCUAACACAUGCAAGUCGAACGAGUGGCGGACGGGUGAGUAAUGUCUGGGAACCUGCCUGAUGGAGGGGGAUAACUACUGGAAACGGUGGCUAAUACCGCAUACCAUCGGAUGUGCCCAGAUGGGAUUAGCUAGUAGGUGGGGUAAAGGCUCACCUAGGCGACGAUCCCUAGCUGGUCUGAGAGGAUGACCAGCCACACUGGAACUGAGACACGGCCCAGACUCCUACGGGAGGCAGCAGUGGGGAAUAUUGCACAAUGGGCGAAAGCCUGAUGCAGCCAUGCCGCGUGUAUGAAGAAGGCCUUCGGGUUGUAAAGUACUUUCAGCGGGGAGGCGGUAUCCGCAGAAGAAGCACCGGCUAACUACGUGCCAGCCGCCGCGGUAAUUC